rnacentral:rRNA from 1 species
CGAAGCGAACGCGGUGAACUGAAACAUCUAAGUAACCGCAGGAAAAGAAAUCAACCGAGAUUCCCAAAGUAGUGGCGAGCGAAAUGGGAUGAGCCUUGCACUCUUUAUUUGUAUUGUUAGCCGAACGCUCUGGAAAGUGCGGCCAUAGCAGGUGAUAGCCCUGUAGGCGAAAACAGUAUGAAAGAACUAGGUGUGCGACAAGUAGGGCGGGACACGUGAAAUCCUGUCUGAAGAUGGGGGGACCAUCCUCCAAGGCUAAAUACUCGUGAUCGACCGAUAGUGAACCAGUACCGUGAGGGAAAGGCGAAAAGAACCCCGGGAGGGGAGUGAAAUAGAUCCUGAAACCGCAUGCAUACAAACAGUCGGAGCCUCGUAAGGGGUGACGGCGUACCUUUUGUAUAAUGGGUCAGCGACUUACGUUCAGUAGCAAGCUUAACCGUAUAGGGCAGGCGUAGCGAAAGCGAGUCCGAAUAGGGCGUUCAGUUGCUGGGCGUAGACCCGAAACCAGGUGAUCUAUCCAUGGCCAGGAUGAAGGUGCGGUAACACGUACUGGAGGUCCGAACCCACUAACGUUGAAAAGUUAGGGGAUGAGCUGUGGAUAGGGGUGAAAGGCUAAACAAACCUGGAAAUAGCUGGUUCUCUCCGAAAACUAUUUAGGUAGUGCCUCGUGUCUCACCUUCGGGGGUAGAGCACUGUCAUGGUUGGGGGGUCUAUUGCAGAUUACCCCGCCAUAGCAAACUCCGAAUACCGAAGAGUGCAAUCACGGGAGACAGACAUCGGGUGCUAACGUCCGGUGUCAAGAGGGAAACAACCCAGACCGCCAGCUA